GACGAACGCUGGCGGCGUGCUUAACACAUGCAAGUCGAACGGAAAGGCCCUGCUUUUGUGGGGUGCUCGAGUGGCGAACGGGUGAGUAACACGUGAGUAACCUGCCCUUGACUUUGGGAUAACUUCAGGAAACUGGGGCUAAUACCGGAUAGGAGCUCCUGCUGCAUGGUGGGGGUUGGAAAGUUUCGGCGGUUGGGGAUGGACUCGCGGCUUAUCAGCUUGUUGGUGGGGUAGUGGCUUACCAAGGCUUUGACGGGUAGCCGGCCUGAGAGGGUGACCGGCCACAUUGGGACUGAGAUACGGCCCAGACUCCUACGGGAGGCAGCAGUGGGGAAUAUUGCACAAUGGGCGGAAGCCUGAUGCAGCAACGCCGCGUGCGGGAUGACGGCCUUCGGGUUGUAAACCGCUUUCGCCUGUGACGAAGCGUGAGUGACGGUAAUGGGUAAAGAAGCACCGGCUAACUACGUGCCAGCAGCCGCGGUGAUACGUAGGGUGCGAGCGUUGUCCGGAUUUAUUGGGCGUAAAGGGCUCGUAGGUGGUUGAUCGCGUCGGAAGUGUAAUCUUGGGGCUUAACCCUGAGCGUGCUUUCGAUACGGGUUGACUUGAGGAAGGUAGGGGAGAAUGGAAUUCCUGGUGGAGCGGUGGAAUGCGCAGAUAUCAGGAGGAACACCAGUGGCGAAGGCGGUUCUCUGGGCCUUUCCUGACGCUGAGGAGCCGAAAGCGUGGGGAGCGAACAGGCUUAGAUACCCUGGUAGUCCACGCUGUAAACGGUGGGUACUAGGUGUGGGGUCCAUUCCACGGGUUCCGUGCCGUAGCUAACGCUUUAAGUACCCCGCCUGGGGAGUACGGCCGCAAGGCUAAAACUCAAAGGAAUUGACGGGGCCCCGCACAAGCGGCGGAGCAUGCGGAUUAAUUCGAUGCAACGCGUAGAACCUUACCUGGGUUUGACAUGGAUCGGGAGUGCUCAGAGAUGGGUGUGCCUCUUUUGGGGUCGGUUCACAGGUGGUGCAUGCCUGUCGUCAGCUCGUGUCGUGAGAUGUUGGGUUAAGUCCCGCAACGAGCGCAACCCUUGUUCACUGUUGCCAGCACGUUAUGGUGGGGACUCAGUGGAGACCGCCGGGGUCAACUCGGAGGAAGGUGGGGAUGACGUCAAGUCCUCAUGCCCCUUAUGUCCAGGGCUUCACGCAUGCUACAAUGGCUGGUACAGAGAGUGGCGAGCCUGUGAGGGUGAGCGAAUCUCGGAAAGCCGGUCUCAGUUCGGAUUGGGGUCUGCAACUCGACCUCAUGAAGUCGGAGUCGCUAGUAAUCGCAGAUCAGCAACGCUGCGGUGAAUACGUUCCCGGG
rnacentral:rRNA from 1 species